AAGGUACAGCAGACAAUAGCUUGAAGUAUUCAAGAGGAAAGUCCGGGCUGCAGUGAAGUAUGGUUCCAUUUAAACAAUGGCUAGGGUAACCUAAGGGACAGUGCAACAGAAAGUAAACCGCUUGGCAACAAGUAAGGGUGAAACGGUGGGGUAAGAGCCUACCAGACUUUUGAGUAAUCUUAAGUGCUAUGUAAACCCAACCAGCAGCAAGAAGAGGCGGUGGGAACUUCACAAUCCCUCUCUUCGCACGAUUGUUUAAGUAAUUAAACAACCAGAUAAAUUAUUGUCCAAUACAAAACUCGGCUUACAGCUGUGCCUUUUUU
rnacentral:RNase_P_RNA from 1 species